GGGGGUGUAGCUCACUUGGUAAAGCAUUUGCCUGCCAUGCAUAAGGUCCUGGGUUCGACCCCCAGUGCUGAUA
rnacentral:tRNA from 1 species